GUGAGCAAGAAAUCUGAUAUUGGAAGUCAGAUACUAGUUUACAAAUAUCUUUUACUAGGCAGUAUGCUGGUGAGGUAACACAGGAAAGAAAUAACUUUUGAUGACAAGAGAACUACAAUGUGAGCAAGUUUAAGGGUUCAGCAAAGCUAACCAUUGCUUUGAUUUCUUGCAGGUGAUUAUAAUUCUGCUGAUGCCAGCCCUUUAUCUCUAACUAGGACAGGUUACACAUCAGCAGAAGCGUGAGCACUCAGAACACUGCUGAGGCAAAAAACUUUCUUCUUCAGUGCGUCUGCACAGCUUCACCUCCUGUUCUUCCCCUCUCCUCCAAGUAAUAGCAAUUCCUGAUUCAGCCCCCUCUCUCCACUAUUACCUCCACUCACGCAGUAAAGGCAAAGAACUUCAGGGAAAUGACAGAGAAGAACAGCAAGAAAGACACAAGUGUUCAGUAUCAAGUCCAGACCCUGACAUUUAUUACCAGAGCCUGGCAGCAAUCAGCACAGGAAACACAUUUAGCAAGAACCACACCAGAAGCACCAGGAAAUGUUGUCUUCCUCGGAACAAUUCCCUGAAUCCCAGGUAGCCACAUACCCAAAGGCAACACUGAGCUCAGCAGCAGCAGCAGAUCUUGUGGUACCUGUUGAACCUAGUGCAGACUGAGAACAUUUUUUCACUCCAGCAGUUUUAGGGACUGGCUUUUAUGUUGUACAAAGCAAAUGGGUUGAAGUAUUCACAAUUUUUGCUUGGAUUAGAGUGCAUUCCCCUAUCCUCUGCAUGGAAUAAAGGUUAAGGAAGGAGUAAUGUUCA
rnacentral:lncRNA from 1 species